ACCACCAACCAGAAGAAAAACGAGUUAUAUGUAUGCUAUAACGCUUAGAAAGUUCGUUUUUAUCGAGCUCAUGGUUGAGCGAAAAAGUCAUCGCACUGUUAAUAUGAAGUGCCUGUCCUGACAAAUUUUCUUACCUUUUGUUCAUUGCUCGCUUAGUUUAUUCGUUUCAUUAAAUACAGAUAUUAUUAAUUAGAAACUUCUGUGGUAACUUCUGGCAAUAGAAAAUAGAAACUUCUGGCGAUGAUAAACUUAACCCAGUUUUUUCCAGCAGUCGUUGAAGAUGGUGAUUUAAAACAAAUCCUGAAGAAAAAUUACUCAAUUGAGGUCGAAUCCUUGAAACGCCUGAACGGAUUUGACACCAUAAAUUACCACGUGAAAACUUCCACGUCACAUUUCAACGGGGGUCAAAAUUACCUGCUAAAAAUAGCCCCAUGUACAAACCCUCCCCAUGCCGCCCAAAUAUUUCACGAACAGAUCAGUUUGAUGGAACAACUAUAUAAUGAAAUUCCAAGUUUACUACAACGUGUUUUCACAUCAAAUAAUGGGAAAUCUGUGAUCAAAUCUGCGGUUAGAUGCAAAAGUUCAGAAGUUAAUGAUUGUCAUCUGCAUAACAUAGCCUUGCUUGAAUAUAUUGAGGGAAACCCUAUGAAUACAGUGCUUCCUUUUUCUCUUACCCUGACCGAAGAUUUAGGCGAAAAGUAUGGACAACUUUCUCUGGCGCUUCAAAAUUGUCCAGAAGUAACGACUAGCCGUAAAAAUUUUCACUGGGAUCCAAAAAAUGUGUUGGUCUGCGAACAAAACUUUGGAAUUUUAUCCAAAACAGGCCAAGAGGAAAGAAGGAGAGUUUGUGAAAACUUUUUAUGUGGAUUCAAAACAGAUAGUCUUCCAAAGAUUGAGGCAACGUGUAGGGAGGCUCUUAUCCAUGCGGACGGAACCUGCAAAAACAUUCUCGUCCACCCAGACAACCCUGACUGUGUGAGAGCUAUUCUGGACUUCGAGGAUGCCUGUCACUCUUAUUUGGUCUUCGAGUGUGGCACCCUUCUUAGAUCCAUACUCACAUUUGUGCCAGAAAACGCAUUAGGUGAGUAUGGUCGAGCACUGAUGAAAGGGUUCACCAAAUUUCGCCCCCUUUCGGACUCGGAAUGGGAUCUCCUCCUAGAAUCUACCUUGUCUCGCUUGUUGCAACACCAGAUAUCAACCUUAGUCGCAUCAGUAAAGAAUCCAGAAAACUCCAGCUACGUUUUAGCCACUUAUGAAGUUGGAUGGCGCGUUUUUGACAGGCUGUUUUCAGAAGAUUCGACGGAGCUUCUCAAAAUCUGGAGAACUUGAAGUUGAAUUUUUGCAUAGAUCACAGAUACGUUUCAAUUUUAAAAUAUAUUGU